rnacentral:lncRNA from 1 species
GAGAGCACCGUCAUACUAGUUUGGUGUGACCACCGAUUUCAUUUCUGCUAGAUUUGGCUAACCUUGCUUGAAAUCUUUCUUCUCGAAGAUUGCAGAAGCUCACAAAUCCUAUUAUUUCAGGGACUUCCAAUUCGAUUAGGUUUCGAAGAGGAGAAUGGGAGAAGACAUUUGAGGUUACGAAAAGAACCAUUCGUAUUAUCUGAUUGAAUUUUAGACAAAGCACCUGUCAGGGUUUCAAUGACAUUUGUUGCAUAAGAGCAGGUGAUUGACAACCGGAAAUUUAAUAUGUAUAUGUAUAUGUAAAAAUAUAUGUGUGUGUGUGUGUGUGUGUGUUCCGAAACUAAGCCAGUUAGCGACGAACAUGGACAACAAGAAUAGGAUCAAAGCACACCCCUUCGCCCUCCCAGCCUCCAAAGGAUCAUUCCUCGACUUUUGUUUUCCCGGCGCGGCCAUCGGACGGAGCUACUACAGUACCGUAUCAGCGCUGGUCUGUAUUGCGGAGUUCGUUAGAAAAAGUAUCACUGGGAAUCACUAUAGUCUUAGGGGAUCACUGGAGCUCCAAAUGCUAUUUCGGUUGCGUUACCGCUCUCCUCUCAAGCAAGCUCCUCUGGCCCUCCCAGGGCCGCUACAUUAUUUCGGGCAAGAUUUGGCUUGCUUUGCGGCACAACGAAACCGUGGGUUUGUUCUGGGAUGCCUCCGGUUUUUUUUUUUUUUUUUUUUUUUUUUCCCCCCCUAAACCCAGUCCUGCGCUUGCAAACAUAGUCAAAACCUUCUACGUAGUGAGCCUCGUACCAUUGUGCUUAGAUGCUGAAAAACAGUUUGUAUUUCCCGUUUUAACAGCACUGCACUGAAUUAGUCUCCACUUGGGUCUCU